rnacentral:rRNA from 1 species
UACGGGGGGAGCAAGCGUUGUUCGGAUUUACUGGGCGUAAAGGGCGCGUAGGCGGCGCAACAAGUCACUUGUGAAAUCUCCGGGCUUAACCCGGAGCGGCCAAGUGAUACUGUCGUGCUAGAGUGCGGAAGGGGCUACUGGAAUUCUCGGUGUAGCGGUGAAAUGCGUAGAUAUCAUUUGGAACGCCAAUGGUGAAAACAGGUAGCUGGGAGUGUGCUGACGCUGAGACACGAAAGCCAGGGGAGCAAACGGG